AACCUAACCUAAACACAAACCUAACUACAUAUUAAAUCGUCACACAUAAACGUAACUAUUAUUACAUUGAGGUUCAAAUUUAUGUCUAUCAAAAAUUAACACCCUCUUUUGAUACCUGAUGAACAUAGUCUAUAUUUUAUGAUGUUUUUUAUUCUGUGUCAACCCGAUCGGAGCCGGGACGGUCCUACAUGCCUAAAUAAAGAUAUUCAGUAAAAUUCAAAAUUCAAAUGGAAUUAUCCAUUUUUGCUGAUAAUAGUGAGUUUUAAUAUUAUAUAAAAAUGUUAUAUAUAGGUAAUUAUUAUUAUAUUAUAAUAAACUUAUUGAUCUACAUUGUUGGUGUUUUAUUUUUAAUUUCCUAUAAAUUUGAAUAAGGAUGAGAAUUAGUAGUGAUGUUACCCAGCAUCGAAAAUUUUAUCGAUAUCGAUAUGAAGUUUUAUCGAUAAUAUGUACUCAAAGGAGACAUCACUAGCAACUUCAACUUUUAAAUGUUGGCAGCAAUGUGGAUCAUUUUUGACGUGAACUUUUCAUAGGUUGGUAUAUAAGACUUAACCUAAGUAAUACAUGCAUAUGUGUGCGUGAGCUCGAAAUCGAAGUACUGAGUGCCGUCUCUUCCUAUACCUAUUACUUGCUCUGUGAAGUUAAGAGGCUGAUUCAAGAAUGUUCUGCCAUAUUUUUCAUUCUGUCAAACACAACGACAGUGCAGAGAUAAUUAUUCCAAGCCCUGACACCGAUAUUUUUGUAUUAGGCCUUUAUUUCUGGCAUUUUUUAUGUAAUUUAUUUAAUUAAAAAUUGAAAACAAUUAUUUCGGCCAUAUAUGUAUAACUUUAGUAGGCAGGUACUUUAUGUAAUAUUAUAAAAAAAAAUCACUAACCCGAAAUUAUAUUAAAAUAAAAUUCAAAUUCAAAUUCGUUUAUCCAAUCAAACUUAACCUAACCUUAGAGCUAAAUACAUUAGGUGUUGUACAUAUUAUGUUUAGUGAUAGGUAUGUAUCAAUCAUCGGUUCAAGACUGGCAUCUUUGCUAGGUUACCGAGAAGAAACGAAAAUGGCCAAGAACAAGACGACGACAUAAUCUUCGAAGACUUCGCGCGCCUCAGGCUGAAGGGCGCGGACGCUGAUGCUUGAACAUUAUGCUAACAGCGCUCUCUUACUGAACUACAUUCUAUAUUUUGUUAUACCAAACGCACAAUUGUAUCGUACUUUUUGAAUUUUCAUAAACAACAUUGUUCGUUUUGAAAUCCAUCGAAUGACCAUAGACACAAGAAAUAAGUGUUACCAUCCUUAGCGAAAAGUGUUAUAAUCUGUAUUAAAAUAAAAAUGAUGUAUAAAAUCA